GAGGAGGCGAGUGAUGUGGAGGUGGCGGUGGGGAUGCUGAUGAUGAGAGGCUGCGGCGGUGAAGGAGAGCCUCUGCGAGGGACUCGAGCGAAGAUCCGGCGUGGAAGUGCAUGCAUGGGAUUAGCGCCAUCCAGGAACAGAAAUCCACGUGACCUCAUGCCACAAAUGUUUUUGUAGGAGCCCAAGGAACCGCGCUGUCAUCGGCCCUUCGUGCUACAGGUUGCUUUGGAACCAGAGGAUGCUGUUUCCCAGAUCCAAAAGGGCAAAAUUUGAGGAUGUGCAAAAUUUCGAAAAGUGUAAAAAAACAA